GAGCAAAUUGCUGAAGGUCUGGGCGUAGAUGUUUCAAGUCAGAGGAAAGGAAAUUGUGGAAGAAAGCCGAAAGACAUCAAUCUAGAGCAAAUCCCUACCAUCCCACUAAACAGGAGGUCUACUAUCAGGUCACUUGCCUGGCAACUCGGGUGCAGCCCUACGGCACUCCUGUUGGGGAACGCAACGGAAAACGAAAAUUUUCGGUAUAGCGAGCACGCCCAGGACCACUAUGGAGACUGCAUACAAGGUUUGAUCUGA
rnacentral:rRNA from 1 species